UCUGUGUUUUGUAAGGGAUAAUGUAUAGAACGCCGGUCAUUAUUGGAAAAAAUAACUCCCGACAGGGCAAACCGGAUCCUGACGAGCCAG